rnacentral:rRNA from 1 species
AGUGAACGCUGGCGGCGUGCCUAACACAUGCAAGUCGAACGAUGAUGGAUGAGCUUGCUCAUCCUGAUUAGUGGCGCACGGGUGAGUAUACCAUAGAUAAUGUACCCCUUAGUUCGGGAUAGCCACUGGAACCGGUGAUUAAUACCGGAUACUCCUUCUUGCCAUAAGGUAAGUAGGGAAAGUUUUUUCGCUAAGGGAUCAGUCUAUGUCCUAUCAGGUAGUUGGUGAGGUAACGGCUCACCAAGCCUAUGACGGGUAUCUGGUUUGAGAGGAUGAUCAGACACACUGGAACUGAGACACGGUCCAGACUCCUACGGGAGGCAGCAGUGAGGAAUAUUGCACAAUGGAGGAAACUCUGAUGCAGCAACGCCGCGUGGAGGAUGACGCAUUUCGGUGUGUAAACUCCUUUUAAGAGGGAAGAUUAUGACGGUACCUCUUGAAUAAGCACCGGCUAACUCCGUGCCAGCAGCCGCCGUAAGAC